rnacentral:rRNA from 1 species
UACGAAGGGUGCAAACGUUAUUCGGAGUGAUUGGGCGUAAAGGGUGUGUAGGCGGUAUGGUAAGUCAACUGUCAAAUUUCCCAGCUUAACUGGGAGCCGGCGGUUGAAACUGUUGUACUUGAGGAUGGAAGAGAGAAGCGGAAUUCUCGGAGUAGCGGUAAAAUGCGUAGAUCUCGAGGGGAACAUCGAUGGCGAAGGCAGCUUCUUGGUCCAUAUCUGACGCUGAGGCACGAAAGCGUGGGGAGCAAACAGG